GGUGCAUUUUGCAGUUAGUCGUCGGUCAUGAGCCACAUUCGACAAUCGAUUAAUUCCGGGAUCAUCACUGAAGGGAAUUUGAGGAAAGCUACAUCUUCUAGUCCAGUAACCCAACAGUCAGUGAUCGGCUUCUUCCAGAAUCACCGGCACGCGUCAAGAGUGAAACUCGAAAGACAUUAACCGUCGUAGGAUGAUCAGCAAUCCUUGGACCACUUCAGGAACAUCGUUCAUCGUGGAAAAAACACCUUCGUCAACAACGAGGGACCAUUCCUAAUGGGUGCGAAUAGCUCCCAGCAGUAAGGGCUUCUCUACCAAUGACUGGAACCGUCUUCCAAGGGUUAGCAGUCCCUUCCAUUAUCAUCACUUAUAGGUAAGACCUAUCCCUUUGCGAACAGGAACACCUUCAAGUGGUUCGAAACUUUACCACUUCUUCCACAGAUAUGAUCAUCCUUUAACAAGUUGAAGGUGGUUUCUAUUUGCAAAAGUACAGUUUCUGGCCGUGGAAUGGUGGCAAUUACCAUUUAGAAGAUAUCCAAUUCUGCUGAAAAUGGUCCAGGGGGUAAUCGGUCUCUUCCAGGAUCAGCUGCAUACGUCAAAAGAGACUUUUACAGACAAUAGAGAAACAUCAACCAUCCUUGGAUGAUCAUCAAACCUUGGGCCACUUCAAGAAUAUCGUUCGUCAUGGGAGAUCACCUUCGUCAACAACCAGGAACCAUUUCUAACCUGUGCAAAUAGCUCCCAAUCGUAAAGCUCAUUUACCAAUGGCUGUAACCGUCUUUCAGGGGUUAGGAGUCCCAUCCAAUAUCAAAGGUACUUGGAAGACAGUUUCUGACUAUGGAAUAGUGGCAGUUACCACUUGGGAGAUAUUUACUUCUACUUAAAAUAGUCCCACAGACACUCGAAAGAUAUUUUCCAUCGAGGGAUGAUCACCAAUCCUUUGACCACUUCAGGAACAUCCUUCAUCGUGGAAGGUCACCUUCAUCAACAACGAGGGACCAUUUCUAACUAGUGCGAAUAGCUCCCAACAGUUAGGGCCGUUAAGCAAUAGUUGGAACCGUCUUCCAAAGGUUAGAAGUCCCUUCCAACAUCAAGAAUCAUCAAUCACGGAGGUAUAAGUCAAGCCCCUAAGUGAAGAUCCAAAAUGUUAUAAGGUAGUUCUAACUCCUUGGAGACAGUUUCUCACCAUGUAAUGGUGGUGGUUACCACUUGGGAAGUAUUCAAUUCUGCUAAACCGGUCCCGCAGGUAAUGGGGCCCUUCCAGGAUCGCCAGAAUACGUUAACAGAGACAUUCAAGGAAAAUUGACCAGCAUGGGAUGGACCACAUCAGGAACAUCGUUCAUCAUGGGAGAUCAUCUUCGUCAACAAAGAUGGACUACUUCUAACGGAUAUUCGAGAAGCAGUGAAAUCUCCGUGGGAGGAUCACCAAUCCUUGGACCACUUCAGGAACAUCGUUCAUCGUGGGAGAUUACCAUCGUCAACGAGGGACCAUUUCUAACGGGUGCGAAUAGCUCCCAACGGUAAGAGCCAUCUACCAACGGCUGGAACGGUCUUCGAAGGGUUAGAAGUCCCUUACAACAUCGAGGAUCAUCAUUCAUAGGUAAGACUUAUCCCUCUGCGAACAGGAACACCUUCAGGUGGUUCGAAGGUGAUCCUAUCCGUGGAAGUGUGGUACUUGUACCACAUCUUCCACAGAUAUGAUCAUCAUCAAACCAUUUGAAGGUGUCUCUAUUUGCAAAGGUAUAAGUCGAGCCUCUGAAUGACGAUCCAAGAUGUUAUAAGGUACUUCUAACUACUUGGAAGACAGUUUCUAGCCAUUGAAAGGUGGCAGUUACCACUUGGGAGGUAUUCAAUCCUGCUAAAAAUGGUCCCGAGCGCGGACAGGGGACAC